GACGUAGGGCGCGAGCGUUGUCCGGAUUUAUUGGGCGUAAAGAGCUCGUAGGCGGUUUGUCGCGUCUGCCGUGAAAAUUCGAGGCUCAACCUCGAACUUGCGGUGGGUACGGGCAGACUAGAGUGUGGUAGGGGAGACUGGAAUUCCUGGUGUAGCGGUGAAAUGCGCAGAUAUCAGGAGGAACACCGAUGGCGAAGGCAGGUCUCUGGGCCACUACUGACGCUGAGAAGCGAAAGCAUGGGGAGCGAACAGG
rnacentral:rRNA from 1 species